rnacentral:rRNA from 1 species
UGAAAGCGGGGGAUCGCAAGACCUCGCGCGAGUUGGAGCGGCCGAUAUCAGAUUAGGUAGUUGGGUGAGGUAAAGGCUCACCAAGCCGACGAUCUGUAAGCUGGUCUGAGAGGACGACCAGCCACACUGGGACUGUAGACACGGCCCAAGACUCCUACGGGAGGCAGCAGUGGGGAAUUUUGGACAAUGGGCGCAAGCCUGAUCCAGCAAUGCCGCGUGCAGGAUGAAGGCCUUCGGUUGUAACUGCUUUGUACGGAACGAAACGGUGAGCUCUAAUACAGUUUGCUAAUGACGGUACCGUAAGAAUAAGCACCGGCUAACUACGUG